CUCUUUCCGCCCCGUCCACGACAAGCACCAAGCACGUGGGUUCUCGGGGGGAAACAAACAGCAACUGAACUAGCAAGCAAGGAAGGAAGGAGCCUAGAGCAGUUUCUGCAGGCGCAUGUGUGGGAGCUGAGGCGCGCUACUGGGAACUGCCCUGCUGUAACCGCGCCCCACCCCACCUGCCUCUUCUUUCUCACACACAUGGUUCGGGGUGGGGGAGAUAGACAGUGGCUUCCAAGCAGCAAGAGAAGAAACACAAACACCGUGAGCACACAUCAGACGGAAAGAGAGCCUGUUGUGUCUAACACCAGAACUCUGGGUGUCUAGCACCCAGAUAGCUUGUUUGGAGAUUCCCAGGGGCACCCCUACACCUGAUUUGGAGCUACAGAAAGGUGUGGUCAGCAUUCCACUUCAGGGCAAGAUGCUGCCUAUUUCAGCCCUGGAGACCACUAAACCAUGUAUCUCUUCCUCAGAUUCACCUUUUGCAUGUCCAUGCAUUUGGACAUUAGCUACACCAUCUUGCUGUGUUUGGGCUCUCAUUCCCAUCCUGCUUGUCACCUCUAGAUUGGCCCUGCUUUCAAGCCCGAUCUAUGCAGCAUGCCUGGCAGCACCCAGAUAUUGGGUCUCCCGAGAUCAGACCCUCUUUGGAUUUUGCAUGGUACUUGGACUCUUGUGUGGCACUUGGGUCCCCACUCCUGCCAUCAGCCUUGUCCCAGAGGAAGGCGGGCCCUCGACAUCAGUCAAGCUACAAGGGUCCACACACCCCACCGGAUGGACUUAGAUAUACUUAUUUCUGCUCUAAAGCCUCUGGCUCCCCUCUCCUUCGCACUCUUUAAAUUCAAAGCUAUUCUCUAAGACAAUUUCUCUGGUCAGCCUUGAGUGGAUUUGUUACCUGUAAGUUAGCAUUAGCAACGCCAUUUUGAGAUUUCCUGCUCCUAAAAGCAAAAAGCCUUCUCUGCCAUUUCAUGAGAUGGCUGCUAGCAUGUAGAAAACAUCUGGUCAGCAUUUUUUUUUUUAGCUCUCACCCGCUUUUACAAUCUUGGAACAUUGCAACAAAUUGUUAAGUGAUAUUCCUUCCUGCAUCCGAGGCAGGGAUGAAUUCCGAUAGGUCGAGCUCUGUAGCCUGAUAGGGACAGCUCAGUAGGUAACCAACAAUUAAAAACACUAACAAAACUAGUAUUGUUAUCUUCUAAGAACUAAUAUGGUGAUGUAUCGUUAGACUACCUGUCAAGAGGUGUUAUUGCUGCAUGUGCUAAAUUUGUAUCCAUUUUGUAUAGAAACCCUGGGCAGUCACCAUUUUGGAUUUUCCUGCUUUGUUAAACAAUUCCCAGGGUGCGCGUUUGCUCUGCAGAGUCAAAUAAAGUUUUCAACAGUC